rnacentral:rRNA from 1 species
AGAGUUUGAUCCUGGCUCAGAACGAACGCUGGCGGCGUGCCUAACACAUGCAAGUCGAGCGCGAAUGGAGCAAUCCUAGUAGAGCGGCGCACGGGUGCGUAACACGUGGAUAAUCUGCCUGGGUGUCUGGGAUAACCAGUCGAAAGAUUGGCUAAUACCGGAUAAGCCCCCGGGAGCUUCGGCUCUUGAGGGAAAAGGUGGCCUCUGUAUACAAGCUAUCACAUCCAGAUGAGUCCGCGGCCCAUCAGCUAGUUGGCGGGGUAAUGGCCCACCAAGGCAACGACGGGUAGCUGGUCUGAGAGGACGAUCAGCCACACUGGAACUGAGACACGGUCCAGACUCCUACGGGAGGCAGCAGUGGGGAAUUUUGCGCAAUGGGCGAAAGCCUGACGCAGCAACGCCGCGUGUGUGAUGAAGGUCUUCGGAUUGUAAAGCACUUUCGACCGGGACGAAAACCCGUUGGCUAACAUCCAACGGCUUGACGGUACCGGGAGAAGAAGCACCGGCUAACUCUGUGCCAGCAGCCGCGGUAAUACAGAGGGUGCAAGCGUUGUUCGGAAUUAUUGGGCGUAAAGCGCGUGUAGGCGGCUUUGCAAGUCGGGUGUGAAAGCCCUCAGCUCAACUGAGGAAGUGCGCCCGAAACUGCAGAGCUUGAGUGCCGGAGAGGGUGGCGGAAUUCCCCAAGUAGAGGUGAAAUUCGUAGAUACGGGGAGGAACACCGGUGGCGAAGGCGGCCACCUGGACGGUAACUGACGCUGAGACGCGAAAGCGUGGGUAGCAAACAGGAUUAGAUACCCUGGUAGUCCACGCCGUAAACGAUGAGAACUAGGUGUCGUGGGUGUUGACCCCCGCGGUGCCGUAGCUAACGCAUUAAGUUCUCCGCCUGGGAAGUACGGUCGCAAGACUAAAACUCAAAGGAAUUGACGG